rnacentral:rRNA from 1 species
CCGUGCGAAGGUAGCGUAAUCACUUGUCUUUUAAAUAAAGACUAGUAUGAAUGGCAUCACGAGAACUAAUCUGUCUCCCUCCCCCAAUCAGUGAAACUGAUCUCCCCGUGCAGAAGCGGGGAUAACACCAUAAGACGAGAAGACCCUGUGGAGCUUUAAAUCAAAAAUCAACUGCUAUACCUCGCCCCUUGAGGACACACUCCUGUAGAUUUGACUUAGAUUUUUAGCUGGGGCGGCUGUGGAGAAAAGAAUAUCCUCCACGAAACUAUUCCAAGGGCUACUGCCCUAAGUAAUAAUAAAUUAAUUUAAUUGACCCAAUUUUUGAUCAACGAACCAAGUUACCCCAGGGAUAACAGCGCAAUCCACUUUUAGAGUCCAUAUCGACAAGUGGGCUU